rnacentral:rRNA from 1 species
UGGGGAAUAUUGGACAAUGGGCGAAAGCCUGAUCCAGCCAUGCCGCGUGUGUGAAGAAGGCCUUAUGGUUGUAAAGCACUUUAAGUGGGGAGGAAAAGCUUAUGGAUAACACCCAUAGGUUCUGACGUUACCCACAGAAUAAGCACCGGCUAACUCUGUGCCAGCAGCCGCGGUAAUACAGAGGGUGCAAGCGUUAAUCGGAAUUACUGGGCGUAAAGCGAGCGUAGGUGGUUUAUUAAGUCAGAUGUGAAAUCCCUGGGCUUAACCUAGGAACUGCAUCUGAUACUGAUAAACUAGAGUAGGUGAGAGGAAAGUAGAAUUCCAGGUGUAGCGGUGAAAUGCGUAGAGAUCUGGAGGAAUACCGAUGGCGAAGGCAGCUUUCUGGCACCAUACUGACACUGAGGUUCGAAAGCGUGGGUAGCAAACAGGAUUAGAUACCCUGGUAGUCCACGCCGUAAACGAUGUCUACCAGUCGUUGGGUCUUUUAAAGGCUUAGUGACGCAGUUAACGCGAUAAGUAGACCGCCUGGGGAGUACGGCCGCAAGGUUA